GAUGAACGCUGGCGGCGUGCCUAUUACAUGCAAGUCGAGCGAACGGACGAGAAGCUUGCUUUUCUGAUGUUAGCGGCGGACGGGUGAGUAACACGUGGAUAACCUACCUAUAAGACUGGGAUAACUUCGGGAAACCGGAGCUAAUACCGGAUAAUAUUUUGAACCGCAUGGUUCAAAAGUGAAAGACGGUCUUGCUGUCACUUAUAGAUGGAUCCGCGCUGCAUUAGCUAGUUGGUAAGGUAACGGCUUACCAAGGCAACGAUGCAUAGCCGACCUGAGAGGGUGAUCGGCCACACUGGAACUGAGACACGGUCCAGACUCCUACGGGAGGCAGCAGUAGGGAAUCUUCCGCAAUGGGCGAAAGCCUGACGGAGCAACGCCGCGUGAGUGAUGAAGGUCUUCGGAUCGUAAAACUCUGUUAUUAGGGAAGAACAUAUGUGUAAGUAACUGUGCACAUCUUGACGGUACCUAAUCAGAAAGCCACGGCUAACUACGUG
rnacentral:rRNA from 1 species